rnacentral:rRNA from 1 species
CCUACGGGUGGCAGCAGUGGGGAAUAUUUCACAAUGAGGGAAACCCUGAUGCAGCAACACAGCGUGAGUGAAGAAGUCAUUCGUGAUGUAAAGCUCUAUCAGCAGGGAAGAAAAUUACGAUACCUGACUAAGAAGCCCCUGCCAACUACGUGCCAGCAGCCGCGGUAAGACGUAGGGGGGAAACGUUAACCAGAUUUAAUGGGUGUAAAGGUAUCGUAGACGGCGACGCAAGUAUGAAGUGAAAUGCCAUUGCUCAAAACUGGAAGUGCUUUGGAAACUGUGUGGCUAGAGUGCAGGAGAGGUAAGUGGAAUUCCUAGUGUAGCGGGGAAAUGCGUAGAUAUUAGGAGGAACACCAGUGGCGAAGGCGGCUUACUGGACUGUAACUGACGUUGAGGCUCGAAGGCGUGGGGAGCAAACAGGAUUAGAUACCCUGGUAGUC